rnacentral:rRNA from 1 species
GAUCAGGCAAGGCUACCCGCUGAACUUAAGCAUAUCACUAAGCGGAGGAAAAGAAACUAACAAGGAUUCCCCCAGUAACGGCGAGUGAAGCGGGAAGAGCUCAAAUUUGAAAUCUCCGGGGGCGACCUCGGCGAAUUGUAGUCUAGAGAAGUGGAUCUUAGUGCGCGUGCCACGGCCCAAGUGUCCCUGGAAAGGGUCAACAGAGAGGGUGAGAUUCCCGUAUCUGGCCGUGAUGUCGCGCGUGCUGCUACAGACCGCUUUCGACGAGUCGGGUUGUUUGGGAAUGCAGCCCAAAAUGGGUGGUAAAACUUCAUCUAAAGCUAAAUAUGGGCACGAGACCGAUAGCAAACAAGUACCGUGAGGGAAAGAUGAAAAGCACUUUGAAAAGAGAGUCAAAAGCACGUGAAACCGUUACGAGGGAAAUAGAUUGAGGCUAGCAGUGCGCGCGUCACAAUCAGCGCGUGCGGUCUGAAGCCGUGGGUGUGUAUGAGCUGAAGUUUUCUUUGGUCGACGCGCUUGCUGG